GAGUUUGAUCCUGGCUCAGAUUGAACGCUGGCGGCAGGCCUAACACAUGCAAGUCGAGCGGAUGAAGAGAGCUUGCUCUCUGAUUCAGCGGCGGACGGGUGAGUAAUGCCUAGGAAUCUGCCUGAUAGUGGGGGACAACGUUUCGAAAGGAACGCUAAUACCGCAUACGUCCUACGGGAGAAAGCAGGGGACCUUCGGGCCUUGCGCUAUCAGAUGAGCCUAGGUCGGAUUAGCUAGUUGGUGAGGUAAUGGCUCACCAAGGCGACGAUCCGUAACUGGUCUGAGAGGAUGAUCAGUCACACUGGAACUGAGACACGGUCCAGACUCCUACGGGAGGCAGCAGUGGGGAAUAUUGGACAAUGGGCGAAAGCCUGAUCCAGCCAUGCCGCGUGUGUGAAGAAGGUCUUCGGAUUGUAAAGCACUUUAAGUUGGGAGGAAGGGCAUUAACCUAAUACGUUAGUGUUUUGACGUUACCGACAGAAUAAGCACCGGCUAACUUCGUGCCAGCAGCCGCGGUAAUACGAAGGGUGCAAGCGUUAAUCGGAAUUACUGGGCGUAAAGCGCGCGUAGGUGGUUUGUUAAGUUGAAUGUGAAAGCCCCGGGCUCAACCUGGGAACUGCAUCCAAAACUGGCAAGCUAGAGUAUGGCAGAGGGUGGUGGAAUUUCCUGUGUAGCGGUGAAAUGCGUAGAUAUAGGAAGGAACACCAGUGGCGAAGGCGACCACCUGGGCUAAUACUGACACUGAGGUGCGAAAG
rnacentral:rRNA from 1 species